rnacentral:lncRNA from 1 species
UAUGUAUUCAGCACUUGCUGUAGCAAGGUAAUCGUCCACCACCACUUGUGUCUGGCAAAGACUCAAAGGCAGGCAGAGGAGUGGGAAAGCUUUAUAAUAAAAAGAGAGAGAAAGGUGCCCAGGUCCUGAUAUCCAAGGGCUGAAGGAAUAGAGAGGAAAGAGCGUGAGGGUUUAGUGAAUAACUAGGCAUGCAGAAUAAAAGACAUAGCCCAAUGGAUUCAUUUUUCACGUUAAUGUAAUUAGGUCCAAGUAAUCAUUUUAUAUUCCCUGGAAACUUUGCAGGCGUGCUCUGCCUCGUAGGUUCAAUUAGAUGCUUUGUCGUGGAUUUAGUUGGUAUAUCUAGUAUUAUGUCUAGCACUUAUCAGCUUCUUUAUAUUAAUAUUCCCAAAUUAUAAUGUUCUCAAGCUCCAUUCACUUUACUAGAAGUUUUCAGUCUUUUCUAGUUAGUAUCCCUCCCCAGAUUUUUCUUAUAAUCUGUGGGGAUUGUUAAUUCCUCUAUUCUUUUGUGGCCCAACUCGCAACGGACUGCUGGCUUUCCCAGCUCUUUCAGCUUCCCCCUUCUCUCCCUGAGCAUGUUUCAUGGUCUACUGCAGAGCUUCUAAUGAAACAAGGAAUCCGCUGACU